GAUGAACGCUGGCGGCGUGCCUAAUACAUGCAAGUCGAGCGAACAGACGAGGAGCUUGCUCCUCUGGCGUUAGCGGCGGACGGGUGAGUAACACGUGGAUAACCUACCUAUAAGACUGGGAUAACUUCGGGAGACCGGAGCUAAUACCGGAUAAUAUAUUGAACCGCAUGGUUCAAUAGUGAAAGACGGUUUUGCUGUCACUUAUAGAUGGAUCCGCGCCGCAUUAGCUAGUUGGUAAGGUAACGGCUUACCAAGGCAACGAUGCGUAGCCGACCUGAGAGGGUGAUCGGCCACACUGGAACUGAGACACGGUCCAGACUCCUACGGGAGGCAGCAGUAGGGAAUCUUCCGCAAUGGGCGAAAGCCUGACGGAGCAACGCCGCGUGAGUGAUGAAGGUCUUCGGAUCGUAAAACUCUGUUAUUAGGGAAGAACAAAUGUGUAAGUAACUAUGCACGUCUUGACGGUACCUAAUCAGAAAGCCACGGCUAACUACGUG
rnacentral:rRNA from 1 species